CCGGUGCGCACGGAGACCGCCAUGCCUCGCCUUGGCGCUUUCUUCCUGGAGCGGAGCGCAGGCGCCGAGACUGACAACGCGGUCCCACAGUCAAAUAGACCGGGUGCGGUGGCUCACGUCUGUAAUCCCAGCACUUUGGGAGGCUGAGGCGGGCGGAUCCUGAGGUCAAGAGAUCCAGACCAUCCUGGCCAACACCGUGAAACCCCAUCU
rnacentral:sRNA from 1 species